CCUGGUAGUCCACGCCGUAAACGAUGUCGAUUUGGAGGUUGUGCCCUUGAGGCGUGGCUUCCGGAGCUAACGCGUUAAAUCGACCGCCUGGGGAGUACGGCCGCAAGGUUAAAACUCAAAUGAAUUGACGGGGGCCCGCACAAGCGGUGGAGCAUGUGGUUUAAUUCGAUGCAACGCGAAGAACCUUACCUGGUCUUGACAUCCACAGAACUUUCCAGAGAUGGAUUGGUGCCUUCGGGAACUGUGAGAC
rnacentral:rRNA from 1 species